UACGUAGGGUGCGAGCGUUGUCCGGAAUUACUGGGCGUAAAGAGCUCGUAGGUGGUUUGUCGCGUUGUUCGUGAAAACUCACAGCUCAACUGUGGGCGUGCGGGCGAUACGGGCAGACUGGAGUACUGCAGGGGAGACUGGAAUUCCUGGUGUAGCGGUGGAAUGCGCAGAUAUCAGGAGGAACACCGGUGGCGAAGGCGGGUCUCUGGGCCGAUACUGACGCUGGAGGAGCGAAAGCGUGGGGAGCGAACAGG
rnacentral:rRNA from 1 species